rnacentral:rRNA from 1 species
AGAGUUUGAUCCUGGCUCAGAACGAACGUUGGCGGCAUGGAUUAGGCAUGCAAGUCGAACGAAUGCCGUGGGGGCAACUCUGCGGCGGAAGUGGCGAAAGGGGCAGUAAGGCAUGGAUAACCUACCUCGGAGUUCGGAAUAGCCUUCCUAACGGAUGGAUAAUACCGAAUGCCAUGACAUGAAGGCAUCUUCGAGUCAUGAAAGCUCCGGCGUUCCGAGAGGGGUCCAUGUGGUAUUAGCUAGUUGGUGAGGUAACGGCUCACCAAGGCCGAGAUGCCUAGCAGGUGUGAGAGCACGACCUGCGUCACUGGCACUGAGAACUGGCCAGACUCCUACGGGAGGCUGCAGUCGAGGAUCUUCGGCAAUGGGCGAAAGCCUGACCGAGCGAUGCCGCGUGGAGGAUGAAGGCCUUCGGGUUGUAAACUCCUGUCGAGGGGGAGGAACGACGUACGCAGACUACGUCUUGACCGAUCCCUGGAGGAAGCACGGGCUAAGUUCGUGCCAGCAGCCGCGGUAAUUC